GGCCUGCCCUGCCCUGGAUACAACCAGCCACAAACACUUCAGGCACACAGAUAGAAGAAGGCAUCCUAUGGAAUCAUGUCAUAAGGAAAGGAUUGCCAUUUCUCAUGAACUCUGGCUCCCUGGAGCUGAAGAGAUUGAGGAUGAGGAUGGAGACACCGGUGAUCUUGAGUUCAAAAUUAAUCUAAGAGCUCUAGGUCUCAUUUGAUGCUGCUUGAUCUCCCUAGAGGUCUCAGCAGCCUUGAGAGCAAAAUUGAAAUCUAUGGAGACUGCUAGAAGAUCUUCUCCCCAGAACUAAAUGAGAAUCUAAACUUAUAGUAAUUCUUUAAGAGGAAAAAUAAACUCAAGGGACUUUA